rnacentral:rRNA from 1 species
GAUGAACGCUGGCGGCGUGCUUAACACAUGCAAGUCGAACGGAAAGGCCCUGCUUUUGUGGGGUGCUCGAGAGGCGAACGGGUGAGUAACACGUGAGUAACCUGCCCUUGACUUUGGGAUAACUUCAGGAAACUGCGGCUAAUACCGGAUAGGAGCUACUGCUGCAUGGUGGGGGUUGGAAAGUUUCGGCGGUUGGGGAUGGACUAGCGGCUUAUCAGCUUGUUGGUGGGGUAGUGGCUUACCAAGGCUUUGACGGGUAGCCGGCCUGAGAGGGUGACCGGCCACCUUGCGACUGAGAUACGGCCCAGACGCCUACGGUAGGCAGCAGUCGGGAAUAUUGCACAAUGGGCGGAAGCCUGAUGCAGCAACGCCGCGUUCGUGAUGCCGGCCUUCGGGUUGAAAACCGCUUUCGCCUGUGACGAAGCGUGAGUGACGGUAAUGGGUAAAGAAGCACCGGCUAACUACGUG